GAGCUUGCUCCCGGAUGUUAGCGGCGGACGGGUGAGUAACACGUGGGUAACCUGCCUGUAAGACUGGGAUAACUCCGGGAAACCGGAGCUAAUACCGGAUAGUUCCUUGAACCGCAUGGUUCAAGGAUGAAAGACGGUUUCGGCUGUCACUUACAGAUGGACCCGCGGCGCAUUAGCUAGUUGGUGGGGUAAUGGCUCACCAAGGCGACGAUGCGUAGCCGACCUGAGAGGGUGAUCGGCCACACUGGGACUGAGACACGGCCCAGACUCCUACGGGAGGCAGCAGUAGGGAAUCUUCCGCAAUGGACGAAAGUCUGACGGAGCAACGCCGCGUGAGUGAUGAAGGUUUUCGGAUCGUAAAGCUCUGUUGUUAGGGAAGAACAAGUGCGAGAGUAACUGCUCGCACCUUGACGGUACCUAACCAGAAAGCCACGGCUAACUACGUGCCAGCAGCCGCGGUAAUACGUAGGUGGCAAGCGUUGUCCGGAAUUAUUGGGCGUAAAGGGCUCGCAGGCGGUUUCUUAAGUCUGAUGUGAAAGCCCCCGGCUCAACCGGGGAGGGUCAUUGGAAACUGGGAAACUUGAGUGCAGAAGAGGAGAGUGGAAUUCCACGUGUAGCGGUGAAAUGCGUAGAGAUGUGGAGGAACACCAGUGGCGA
rnacentral:rRNA from 1 species